CCCUUAGAUGUUCUGGGCCGCACACGCGCUACACUGAAGGAGGCAGCGUGUACUCCUGGAUCGAAAGAUUUGGGUAACCCGCGAAUCUCCUUCGUGCUAGGGAUUGAGGUUUGCAAUUAUCCUUCAUGAACGAGGAAUUCCCAGUAAGUGCAAGUCAUAAGCUUGCGCUGACUACGUCCCUGCCCUUUGUACACACCGCCCGUCGCUACUACCGAUUGAGUGAUCCGGUGAAUAAUUCGGACUGCAGCACUGCUUGGUCUCCAGGCUUUGCAGCGGAAAGUUUAGUGAACCUUAUCACUUAGAGGAAGGAGAAGUCGUAACA
rnacentral:rRNA from 1 species